rnacentral:rRNA from 1 species
CGGAGGAUCCGAGCGUUAUCCGGAUUUAUUGGGUUUAAAGGGUGCGUAGGCGGCCUGUUAAGUCAGGGGUGAAAGACGGUAGCUCAACUAUCGCAGUGCCCUUGAUACUGAUGGGCUUGAAUGUACUAGAGGUAGGCGGAAUGUGACAAGUAGCGGUGAAAUGCAUAGAUAUGUCACAGAACACCAAUUGCGAAGGCAGCUUACUAUGGUAUUAUUGACGCUGAGGCACGAAAGCGUGGGGAUCAAACAGGAUUAGAUACCCUGGUAGUCCACGCCCUAAACGAUGAAUACUCGAUGUUAGCGAUAUACAGUUAGCGUCAAAGCGAAAGCGUUAAGUAUACCACCUGGGGAGUACGCCCGCAAGGGUG